GUGAAACAUGCCUAUUUUUUUUUUCUCCCAGUUUUUCUUACAAGCCAUUAUAAAAUUGGUUAAUUUGUAGAUUGAAGUAGAGUUUCUUACCACGUAUACUUGCUAAUAUAAAUGCUUGGUCCCCUUUUAUUGGAUGGCACAUGCAUGCUUGCAUGAAUAGAAACAAGUUUAACAUCUAUAUGUGCCUUGAUAGAAGCACUGAAUUUAGAGUUAGCAUUUAGUUUCUCUUUUGACUUUUAAUUAAGAAUUUAAAUGAGUUGUCAUUUAUUUUU
rnacentral:misc_RNA from 1 species